GACAGAGGGGGCAAGCGUUGCUCGGAAUCACUGGGCGUAAAGGGCGCGUAGGCGGGAUGGCAAGUCAGUCGUGAAAUCCCUGGGCUCAACUCAGGGGGGUCGGCUGAUACUGCCGUUCUUGAGGGAUGCAGAGGAGACUGGAAUUCCCGGUGUAGCGGUGAAAUGUGUAGAGAUCGGGAGGAACACCGGUGGCGAAGGCGGG
rnacentral:rRNA from 1 species